rnacentral:rRNA from 1 species
UUUUCCGGUUGAUCCUGCCAGAGGUUACUGCUAUCGAGGUUGGGAUUAAGCCAUGCGAGUCGAAUGUAGCAAUACAUGGCGUACUGCUCAGUAACACGUGGACAACCUACCCUCAGGUCGGGGAUAAACCCGGGAAACUGGGUAUAAUACCCGAUAGAUCUCGGCUGCUGGAAUGCAUCGAGUUCUAAAGCUCCGGCGCCUGAGGAUGGGUCUGCGGCCUAUCAGGUAGUAGUGGGUGUAGCGUACCUACUAGCCUACGACGGGUACGGGUUGUGAGAGCAAGAGCCCGGAGAUGGAUUCUGAGACACGAAUCCAGGCCCUACGGGGUGCAGCAGGCGCGAAAACUUUACAAUGCCGGCAACGGCGAUAAGGGGACCUCGAGUGCCAGGUUACAAAUCUGGCUGUCGUGAUGCCUAAAAAGCAUUGCAUAGCAAGGGCCGGGCAAGACCGGUGCCAGCCGCCGCGGUAACACCGGCGGCUCGAGUGGUAACCGUUAUUAUUGGGUCUAAAGGGUCUGUAGCCGGCCGGAUAAGUCUCUUGGGAAAUCCAGCAGCUCAACUGUUGGGCUUUCAGGAGAUACUGUCUGGCUCGAGGCCGGGAGAGGUGAGAGGUACUUCAGGGGUAGGGGUGAAAUCUUGUAAUCCUUGAAGGACCACCAGUGGCGAAGGCGUCUCACCAGAACGGACCUGACGGCAAGGGACGAAAGCUAGGGGCACGAACCGGAUUAGAUACCCGGGUAGUCCUAGCCGUAAACGAUACUCGCUAGGUGUCGGCCACGGUGCGACCGUUGUCGGUGCCGUAGGGAAGCCGUGAAGCGAGCCACCUGGGAAGUACGGCCGCAAGGCUGAAACUUAAAGGAAUUGGCGGGGGAGCACCACAACGGGUGGAGCUUGCGGUUU